rnacentral:tRNA from 1 species
GACAAUAUGGUGUAGUGGUUAUCAGGUCUGCCUCCCAAGCCUAAGGUCCCCAGUUCGAACCUGAUUACUGUCA